rnacentral:rRNA from 1 species
GAUGAACGCUGGCUACAGGCUUAACACAUGCAAGUCGAACGGUAGCAGGAGAAAGCUUGCUUUCUUGCUGACGAGUGGCGGACGGGUGAGUAAUGCUUGGGAAUCUGGCUUAUGGAGGGGGAUAACUACGGGAAACUGUAGCUAAUACCGCGUAGUAUCGGAAGAUGAAAGUGCGGGACCGCAAGGCCGCAUGCCAUGAGAUGAGCCCAAGUGGGAUUAGGUAGUUGGUGGGGUAAAGGCCUACCAAGCCUGCGAUCUCUAGCUGGUCUGAGAGGAUGGCCAGCCACACUGGAACUGAGACACGGUCCAGACUCCUACGGGAGGCAGCAGUGGGGAAUAUUGCGCAAUGGGGGGAACCCUGACGCAGCCAUGCCGCGUGAAUGAAGAAGGCCUUCGGGUUGUAAAGUUCUUUCGGUAUUGAGGAAGGAGUGUAUGUUAAUAGCAUGCAUUAUUGACGUUAAAUACAGAAGAAGCACCGGCUAACUCCGUGCCAGCAGCCGCGGUAAUACGGAGGGUGCGAGCGUUAAUCGGAAUAACUGGGCGUAAAGGGCACGCAGGCGGUUAUUUAAGUGAGGUGUGAAAGCCCCGGGCUUAACCUGGGAAUUGCAUUUCAGACUGGGUAACUAGAGUACUUUAGGGAGGGGUAGAAUUCCACGUGUAGCGGCGAAAUGCGUAGAGAUGUGGAGGAAUACCGAAGGCGAAGGCAGCCCCUUGGGAAUGUACUGACGCUCAUGUGCGAAAGCGUGGGGAGCAAACAGG